rnacentral:rRNA from 1 species
CCCUUAGAUGUCCUGGGCCGCACGCGCGCUACACUGAUGCAUUCAACGAGUCUACCUUGGCCGAGAGGCCUGGGCAACCUUUUAAACGUGCAUCGUGAUAGGGAUAGAUUAUUGCAAUUAUUAAUCUUGAACGAGGAAUUCCUAGUAAACGCAAAUCAUCAAUUUGCAUUGAUUACGUCCCUGCACUUUGUACACACCGCCCGUCGCACCUACCGAUUGAAUGGUCCGGUGAGGACUCGGGAUUUUUACCAGUUUCCUUCAUUGGGAAUUGGUGAGGAGAACUUGUCCAAACCCUAUCAUUUAGAGGAAGGUGAAGUCGUAACA